UUCUCGCGGUACUUUGACGUCAUCCGGCUGUCGGUUCUUGCGGCGCCGCAUUAAGUCAAACAAGCCUCCUGACUGCGUGCGAGAACGUUUGAAUUAUCUGGCACGAGCCCUCACACGUCAAACUUCAACUGACACAACGGUCUCGGUGGAGCCUUUAAACAUCUAAACAUGUCCUCCAAAAAGGUUUCCUGUGCUGUUUUGCUCCAUUUUACAGAACAAAAUAAGUGCUGAGGUAGCACCAUCCUUGUGGUUAUAGUGAAAGAAUGUGGGUAUUGAGACCAAAAUAAAUAAUGUCCCAUUCUGGA